UUAUUUGUUCUUGAGCCAUGAACAGCAGGAGGAAACGGUAUGGAACUCUUAAUCUGCUGACACCGAGCUGGGACUUCGGUGCCCACUUCAUCAAGGCCUGUCCAGUUUUACUGCAGUAUCAGACCCAGAAUCUGUAAGGGGCGGAUUAAUAUUGGAUGCAUGCCGUUCAAGUACAGCCUCAGAUUCAUUUCCGUCUAAGUUACACUCUGAUGUUUU